AUCGCUUCUCGGCCUUAUGGCUAAGAUCAAAUGUAGUAUCUGUUCUUAUCAGCUUAACAUCUGAUAGAUCCUCCAUCGGAGGACAACAAAUGUUAAACUGAUUUUUGGAAAUCGAUGGAGUGUUUUAGGGGCUAUUGCAGUACCACCGGGAAUUCAGCUCAAAUUAUUUAAUACAUUGAAUUUAAGAACGAAUAAGUUAAGGCUAC